rnacentral:rRNA from 1 species
GAUGAACGCUGGCGGCGUGCCUAAUACAUGCAAGUCGAGCGAACGGACGAGAAGCUUGCUUCUCUGAUGUUAGCGGCGGACGGGUGAGUAACACGUGUAUACCCUACCUAUAAGACUGGUAUAACUUCGGGACACCGGAGCUAAUACCGGAUGAUAUUUUGAACCGCAUGGUUCAAAGGUGAAAGACGGCCUUGCUGUAACUUCUAGAUGGAUCCGCGCUGCAUUAGCUAGUUGGUAAGGUAACGGCUUACCAAGGCAACGAUGCAUAACCGACCUGAGAGGGUGAUCGGCCACACUGGAGCUUGGACGCGGACAUGACUCCUAAGGGAGGCAGCAGUAGGGAAUGUGCCGCAAUGGGCGAAAGCAUGACGGAGCAACGCCGCGUGAGUGAUGGAGGUCUUCGGAUCGUGAAACUCUGUUAUGAGGGAAGAACAGAUGUGUAAGUAACUGUGCACAGCGUGACGGUACCUAGUCAGAAAGCCACGGCUAACUACGUG